UUCUUCUUCGCUAAAACUAGUUUAUUGCGCUUCGAUGUCACGCGUUAUUUAACCUGGGGUGAAGUGACGUGUUUGCAAGCGGACAUGUAAGCCCGAAAGUUGGGUAUCGGUCGUGAGCCAUUCGGAACACGUCUGCAUCGAAACGGGAGCUGGAUUCUGGUGCGGCUGACAACGGUAAUAACGACAUGCAGUAAUGAGGAUGGCACCAGUAUAAAGCAACACACUCCACACACUAAACAGAAGCUGCUGCCUGCUACAACAAGGCCAUUGUGUGGACAUUGGCUGCUACUACAAGAGUCCAUGCCAAGCAUACCUUGGUCAUCACAGGAGCUCCUAUCCACACCAACAGAAAGGGGCUGGACCUGAAUUUGCAAGGCUUUUACACCACGAACAAAGAAGCGCAUGCAGAAGAAUUUACAUGAGAUAUCAAGUCUGCAGAGCACUGUGUCAAGACUGAAAAGAGCUUCAGCCACCAUUCCACCAGCGCGGACAAAUUGGCUUAGUCAUCCAGGUAACUCAAAAAGGACUUUAUGGAAAUUCUUCGUCUUCAGAUGCGCCUGCAACUUCUGAUCAAGCACGGACGACGCUGGCCAAAAGAGUUCCAUCAGUUUGCCCUUAAUCAGCUUCCUGGCCACGUCAAUUCCAUUUGUGCCAAGUGUAAUUUUUCUUCUAUAAAUGCAAGCUUUUUCAUUGCCCAUUCUCGUUAGAGAUCAUUCAUCCUCAUCCAAACAUAAAGGUCAACCGAUUCUUCGCUGAUACUUAAUACCAGUCACUGUCUAGUAGCAUAACAUAUCUGUAGCAGUACCUUUUAGUGCAUGUUGUCAUGCACAAUUCCUCUCCUGAAAUAGCUGAUGCAACAUCGACAUGUUUCUUGCAUUAACCUACGCACUGUUUGCUAUGCACCAUUUUACUUUUCUUGAUGUUUUUGGCCUUCAAUGCUUGCAGAGCAGGGUGGCUUCUCUCUUGAAUGCAAGCUUUCUCAUUUUCCAUAUUCCUAGUCUCGUUGAUGGUUGCUCUUCUUCCUCGAUAGCCUGGGUCUUUGCGCAAGCUACACUGAAUGAUAGAUUGCAGAAUCUGGUUUUGCUGCCCCACUUGGUUGUGGUCGCCGUGUUACAUUUCUCGGAUGUGAGGUAAGCAUUUGCUCCUGCAGUCCGCACAGCGACAUAGACUCCCAAUUUACACACCAUGAUUCGUGCUCCCCGUUCAGCCUUUCCUGCUGCAGCCAUGUGCAUAUUGUGCCUGCGGCCUUUCUCAGUCGCAAUUAAGCACGAACGGAGACAAGCAUACGUGCUUACAUGGUCCAACGUGUUUGAAGUUCAUAGCCACAUGGGUGGAAAGGCCCGCAUAAAUGGCUGCCGAAGGUGAUGCCCACGAAAGCGACUUGUCCAUAUUGAGACAAAGUGGGACACCAAAUGUGAGCCACACAUUAGUGGCCCUCGACAGAAAAGAAACAUGCAGGUUGGAAAGGAGUUAACGCUAAAAUGCCGGAUAGUCCAUUUCGCUGUGUUGGUUGUGGCAGCAGAUGCCUGCAUCACCUGAUUGCUUCGCAAUGGAAGUUGCUCAUCUUCAACGGCAACUGUCGGUUCAAACAGGUGCGACGCUCUGUCCAAUCUGUUUUUACUGCUGUUUGUCGCUCGUUACCAGACCACCACAUGCGACGAAGGCAAGCAUUAUGCCUGUAAGUAGGCAGCUGAAUGUAUCCUAAGAGACCCGUGUAUGUGAAUGCUCACUGUUGCCAUAUGGUUUGUAGCCAAUGUAUAAUGUAUUCUCUGAACACUAUGUGGUGAAUGAUUGCCGUUUAUUUUUGCUGUUAUCUCACUUGGUUACGGUCGCCGUGUUAUGCUUAUCGGAUGUGGCGGCCUGGUCAGUUGCACUGGAAAGCAGUUUCUCGAAGUAAGCAUUUGCUCCUGCAAUCUGCACAGCGCCAUAGACUCCCAAUUUACACACCGUGAUUCGUGCUCCCCGUUCACGUUCAGCCUUUCCUGCUGCAGCCAUGGGCAAAUUGUGCCUGUUGCCUUUCUCGGCCGCGAUUAAGCACGAACGGAGACCGGCAUACGUGCUUACAUGGUCCGACGUGUGUGAAGUUGGGUGCAAAGGCCCGCAAAAGUGGCUGAUGAAGGUGAUGCCCACGAAAGCGACUUGUCCAUAUUGAGACAAUGUGGGACACCAAGUGCGAGCCACACAUUAGCGGCCCCCGAAAGAAAAGUAACGUGCAGGUUGGAAAGGAGUUAAGGCUAAAAUGCCGGGUAGUCCAUGUCGCUGUGUUGGCUGCGGCAGCAGAUGCCUGGUUCACCCGAUUGUUUCGCAGUGUUAGUUGCUCAUCUUUAACGGCGACUGCCGCUGCAAACAGGCGGGACACUGACCAAUCUGCAUGAGCCGCGGGUUUUCGCUCGUUACUAGACCGCCAUGUGUGACGACGACGGUGAGCCGUUUACGAGCUCGCGUCAAAGAUUCCAGUGUAUCUCGACAUACAAAUUUUAUUUCUGCUAUUGCACGAGAAUGUACAUACACUGCUUGUCUUCUGCCAAUAAAGUCGCACGUUCUGUUCA